rnacentral:rRNA from 1 species
UACAGAGGUCUCAAGCAUUGUUCGGAUUCAUUGGGCGUAAAGGGUGCGUAGGCGGCGCGGUAAGUCGGGUGUGAAAUCUCGGAGCUUAACUCCGAAACUGCAUUCGAUACUGCCGUGCUUGAGGACUGGAGAGGAGACUGGAAUUUACGGUGUAGCGGAUGAAAUGCGUAGAUAUCGUAAGGAAGACCAGUGGCGAAGGCGGGUCUCUGGGCCGAUAC